ACGGAAGGCAGCAGUGAGGAAUAUUGGUCAAUGGGUGAGAGCCUGAACCAGCCAAGUAGCGUGAAGGAUGACUGCCCUACGGGUUGUAAACUUCUUUUAUACGGGAAUAAAAAAGGCCACGCGUGGCCUCUUGCAUGUACCGUAUGAAUAAGCAUCGGCUAAUUCCGUGCCAGCAGCCGCGGUAAUACGGAAGAUGCGAGCGUUAUCCGGAUUUAUUGGGUUUAAAGGGAGCGUAGGCGGGUCUUUAAGUCAGUGGUCAAAGCGUGUGGCUCAACCAUACCACGCCAUUGAUACUGGAGACCUUGAGUGCACAUAAGGAUGGUGGAAUUCGUCGUGUAGCGGUGAAAUGCUUAGAUAUGACGAAGAACUCCGAUUGCGAAGGCAGCUAUCCGGGGUGUAACUGACGCUAAUGCUCGAAAGUGCGGGUAUCAAACAGGAUUAGAUACCCUGGUA
rnacentral:rRNA from 1 species